rnacentral:rRNA from 1 species
UACAGAGGUCUCAAGCGUUGUUCGGAUUCAUUGGGCGUAAAGGGUGCGUAGGUGGCGGGGUAAGUCAGGUGUGAAAUCUCGGAGCUCAACUCCGAAACUGCACUUGAUACUGCCUUGCUCGAGUACUGGAGAGGAGAUUGGAAUUUAUGGUGUAGCAGUGAAAUGCGUAGAUAUCGUAAGGAACACCUGUGGCGAAAGCGGCUCACUGGACCACAACUGACGCUGAUGCGCGAAAGCUAGGGGAGCAAACAGG